rnacentral:rRNA from 1 species
GACGAACGCUGGCGGCGUGCUUAACACAUGCAAGUCGAACGGUAAGGCCCUUCGGGGUACACGAGUGGCGAACGGGUGAGUAACACGUGGGUGAUCUGCCCUGCACUUCGGGAUAAGCCUGGGAAACUGGGUCUAAUACCGGAUAGGACCCUGGGAUGCAUGUCCUGGGGUGGAAAGCUUUUGCGGUGUGGGAUGGGCCCGCGGCCUAUCAGCUUGUUGGGGGGGUGAUGGCCUACCAAGGCGACGACGGGUAGCCGGCCUGAGAGGGUGACCGGACACACUGGGUCUGAGAGACGGCCCAGACUCCUACGGGAGGCAGCAGUGGGGAAUAUUGCACAAUGGGCGCAAGCCUGAUGCAGCGACGCCGCGUGAGUGAUGACGGCCUUCGGGUUGUAAACCUCUUUCAGCACCGACGAAGCGCAAGUGACGGUGGGUGCAGAAGAAGGACCGGCCAACUACGUGCCAGCCGCCGCAGUAA